UACGGGGGGGGCAAGCGUUGUUCGGAAUUACUGGGCGUAAAGGGCUCGUAGGCGGCCAACUAAGUCGGACGUGGAAUCCCCAGGAUCAACCUGGGAACUGCGUCCGAUACUGGAUGGCUUGAAUCCGGGAGAGGGAUGUGGAAUUCCAGGUGUAGCGGUGAAAUGCGUAGAUAUCUGGAGGAACACCGGUGGCGAAGGCGGCAUCCUGGACCGGUAUUGACGCUGAGGCGCGAAAGCCAGGGGAGCAAACGGG
rnacentral:rRNA from 1 species